UUAAUAAGAAGCAACUUUUUGCAUUUAGUUUCGACCUAAAAGUAUGAUAAAUUUAUCCUUAUUU
rnacentral:tRNA from 1 species